GAAAAUGGGAAAACUUCUGAGUGUGUGUAUAGUUCACAUACUUUAUUGACAAUCCGGAAACCUAAUGAAGAGUUGGUUCUACCACUGAAAUCUGGAGAUAUAUUAUUACUGUACACUGUUUCUGCUACCACGUGCGAUGAAAUUAGUCCAUGCUGCAGCUAGGGCAUUGCCUUGUAGCACAACUGGGACUUUACCUCUCUAUAUAGCAAAGAUAACUUAAUAGCAUAGCCCCAGCCACACACAGGCCACUAAGAGACCAUCUGUGUAAGGCUUGUGGCCCAUUUUCAUGCUCAGCCAGAGGCAAUCCUUCUAAUGACUUCAGGGAAUGAUAAGGAUUUCACAGGAAAGUGGAAAAAAAUGGUUAAAUGUCUGAAAAGAUUUACACAAGAGAAGAAUGAUGCUGAAAAUGCAUACAGCUUAGCUAAGCAGUGACUCAGAGGGAUCUGAUUGCCAUCCACAAAUAUUUCAGAGAGGUUAAACACAUGGGUGGGGAGGAACUACUCAGGAUAACAAGGGAAAGAAAGCAAUAUGAUUGCAGACAAUUUGGGUUGAACUGCAGGCAUAUCUUCUCAAUAGCAUGACUGGUUAGACUGUGGAGCAAUUUGCAAGUGAGACGGUGGUGGUCUCAGCAUUUUGGCCAUUUACUGCCAGAUGGGGAAAACAUGUGGUGAUGAAUAAUCCUAUUGUAGAAGUAGAUGGACUUCACAGAUUUUUCACAAGCUGUUUCUUUUAUGCUCUCAAGCUUCUGGGAUCUCAGGAUGAAAAAGGUAGGAGCAGACGAAAAAGUUAGAGGCAGGAAACCAGCCUCAGUUCCAUGGCUUCUCCCAGCCCACAGACAGCUGCUUCAAUCCCAAAUGUCCAAGCCCUACCAGAGAACCUAGCAGCAACUUGAGCACCUUUUGUUCUACCUCUGCCAACAAAUCUUUACUGAAAACUCCAAAAUACUGCUCAAUUUCAGCUGAAUGAAAAACAUCCAGGUAUUUUGAUUUUCUCCUGAAUAGCAACAAGGCAAAAAUUUACCUGAAAAUUCAGAAUUUGAGCUGAAAUGUUAUACUAUUAUUUCAUAUGCAAUAGGGAUGCUUCUUUGGAAUACGUAUUAACAUUUCUUUGUUUUGGAAGGUGGCAGAUUAGCUUUGUUGUGAUUUAUCAUUUACUCCAGAGACAUGCUAUUCUGUGAGAUAUUGUAUCUCUGUGAGAUACAUAAACUUUAUUUAAAUCAAUGUCACAAUUUCUCCCUCUAGCUAAAAUUCAACUAAGAAAAAAAAAAUUAAGACUUAAUUUUAUGGCAAAUCAUUAAAACUUCCCAAUAAGUUGGCCAAAGAACAGAAAACAUUAUUUUGAUGCCUGUGUAUGAAAUUACCAUUUUUUUUUUAACACCGCAUCAUUCACUGUUUCUCUGCAACUUACUGAACAAUUGUACCCCCCACUUUUUGACCUGCUGUCUAAUUCUUAUUUGAACUUCUGACAAUUCUCUAUUUUUCCCAUCUACCAUACUAGAAGGCUUAAGGCCCUUUGUUUCUGGUAUCAAAUUUAAAUAUCCUUCUGUUGUCUGUUUUGCUAGAUUUAUGUGUGUUGACUGUUACUCUCCCUUGGUUUGGUCUUCACAGUAGUUCACAUUGCUUUAGUUUGCUAGGCUAGAGAGCAUUAGUUUGAACAGCCUGAUCAGGGCUCUCUUUUGCUAUCUGUUAACUAUUGUCUGUUAACUAAGUCUGUUUAUGGCUUUACAGCAGUUUUUUUCUCAGAUUAGUGAAUAAGAAACUUUUGUUCCUUUAGAGGGACAGAGAAGCUGCCUUAGUUUCACUGAAAUAAGAGUUGGAAAAGACCUGUCAGACCACCAAAUUAAUCACUUGAUAAGUAUGGGACUACUGCCUCUAUCUCUGU
rnacentral:lncRNA from 1 species